CAAAGAAGGUCGCAGAAUGGAAAAACCUGAUCUUUGUCCAGAUGAAAUAUACGAACUGAUGAACAACUGUUGGGAAAAGCAUGCRCAGGACCGACCCUCUUUCAGUGACGUCAUCGAUUGUGUCGAGACUUAUAUGACACGUAAUAAUCCGUACAUUGAUUUGSUGAACGAAGAAGACGAUGGAUAUUUGGUACCCUUGGAACUGAGUARUUAGAGAAGGAAGCUUCUGCAGAAAAAAUGCUCCCAAUAAACUCUAGGAUCGUGAGAGGGUCACGUAGAGGAUGAUGAUCCUCAUGCAUUAGAAGAACACUGAUUGCAGGUCAAAAUAUGCAACAUGAUUUCUCAAUGUAGGAAGAAAUAGACUAAAACGAUUCGUGUUUGUUUCAUGUUUAUUUCAAAUUUCAAUAUGGACAAAUUAUUUACAUAUAUAUUUUCCUGAUAAUAGACUACCAUACAAUUGACCAUAAAGCUAAUCUAGGCAAGUAUUAAAAUAUUUGAUAUAUUAAAAGAAAAAUUUCUCAUAACCUCAUUUGCAGAGAAACUGAGAUAAAUAGCAUACUAAUAUGGAUUAUAGUUCGUAAAAUCUUGAAAUCACUUAUGAUACUUUUUAAAAUAUUUUAAAAUGUUAAAAUAUACGUGGACAGCAAAGAGUGAAUUCCAGGAAUUCAUUUAUCAGUUCUUAUGCAAAUAAUUGGAAGGAACUGAAGCAACAAGAGUGAAUCUCCGAUCCCUCCAGAGACAGAAGGGAGUCGAAAUCUAAUCCUCCUAAAACACACUAAAACAGCMUCAAAAUCGAAAAUAACCGCUCCAGAAAUAAAUGUCUAUAAACUAUUGAAACAUCUUUAUUUUAGUUUUUUGAUAUUUCAAGAACUGGAAAAGUUACUGUUUAAAAACGAUGUUUUGACUAUAUGUGAAAAGCCGUUUAGAUUGUCCCCACAGGUAGCCAAUCUCCCGUAACUUUUCAGAGACUGGGAAUUCUGUGAUUUUCUCCAAGGAUGGGCACAGGUCUUCGAAAGAGGGAAUGAWCUCCACGAAAAUGUUCACAAUGAAGACAUAGCAUAGGGAAAAAAAUAUAAAAAGUUCAAGAAACCUCACUCUCUAAAUCACUGUGAGCAGUCAAAGUUGUCAAGUAACUGUCAUCUAUCAAAUCAACGUACGAGUUGUCAAGUGUCAUAAGAGACUCGGUCGAAUGGAUGACGUCACUGAACGAUGGUCGGUCCUGCGCAUGCUCUUCCCAACACUUUGUCAUCAGUUYGUAUCUAAGAAAGAAURCCGUCUGGCAUCAAUGUUUAUUCAUAUUAUUUGAAUAGUAUCAGUAAUCAUAUCUUACACGCUAUCUGGACAAAGAUCAGGUUUUUCCAUUCUGCGGCCUUCUUUGAGGAAGGUUAAGAGCUGCUGAUUGCAGACACUGCGGUAUGGUAGCUUACCUGUCAAUCAAAACCAUUAACUGUCAAAUCAAUCAAACAAUGAAUACAAGCUGCACCGACUUACCAAGAGAGUAGAUCUCCCAUAGAACCACACCAUACGACCAUCUGUCAACAACAACACAUUACAUUACUAUAGAUACAAUCUACAAUACAACUUACAAGACUUACACAUCACUUUUACUGGUAAAUAUCUGGUCAUCAAUAGCUUCAG